rnacentral:rRNA from 1 species
UACGUAGGGUGCGAGCGUUGUCCGGAAUUAUUGGGCGUAAAGGGCUCGUAGGCGGUUUGUCGCGUCGGGAGUGAAAACACCGGGCUUAACUCGGUGCUUGCUUUCGAUACGGGCAGACUAGAGGUAUGCAGGGGAGAACGGAAUUCCUGGUGUAGCGGUGAAAUGCGCAGAUAUCAGGAGGAACACCGGUGGCGAAGGCGGUUCUCUGGGCAUUACCUGACGCUGAGGAGCGAAAGCGUGGGAAGCAAACAGG